rnacentral:rRNA from 1 species
AUUGAACGCUGGCGGCACGCCUAACACAUGCAAGUCGAGCGGUAGCAUGGUUAGUAGCAAUACUAACUGAUGACGAGCGGCGGACGGGUGAGGAACACGUAGGAACCUGCCCAAGAGAGGGGGAUAACUAAGGGAAACUUUAGCUAAUACCGCAUAAUUCUCUGAGGAGAAAAGUUGCCCGUAAGGGUAGCGCUUUUGGAGGGGCCUGCGUCCGAUUAGUUAGUUGGUGAGGUAAUGGCUCACCAAGACUGUGAUCGGUAACUGGUCUGAGAGGACGACAAGGAGCACUGGGACUGAGACACGGCCCAGACUCCUACGGGAGGCAGCAGUGGGGAAUCUUGGACAAUGGGGGCAACCCUGAUCCAGCGAUGCCGCGUGGGUGAAGAAGGCCUUCGGGUUGUAAAGCCCUUUAGGCUGGGAAGAAGUUUAUGGGAUGAAUAAUCCUGUAAAUUGACGGUACCAGCAGAAUAAGCACCGGCAAACUCUGUGCCAGCCGCCGCAGUAA